rnacentral:rRNA from 1 species
AUUGAACGCUGGCGGCAUGCCUUACACAUGCAAGUCGAACGGUAACGCGGGGCAACCUGGCGACGAGUGGCGAACGGGUGAGUAAUACAUCGGAACGUGCCCAGUAGUGGGGGAUAGCCCGGCGAAAGCCGGAUUAAUACCGCAUACGACCUACGGGUGAAAGCAGGGGAUCGCAAGACCUUGCGCUAUUGGAGCGGCCGAUGGCAGAUUAGGUAGUUGGUGGGGCAAAGGCCUACCAAGCCGACGAUCUGUAGCUGGUCUGAGAGGACGACCAGCCACACUGGGACUGAGACACGGCCCAGACUCCUACGGGAGGCAGCAGUGGGGAAUUUUGGACAAUGGGCGCAAGCCUGAUCCAGCCAUGCCGCGUGCGGGAAGAAGGCCUUCGGGUUGUAAACCGCUUUUGUCAGGGAAGAAACGGUCUGGGUUAAUACCCUGGGCUAAUGACGGUACCUGAAGAAUAAGCACCGGCUAACUACGUGCCAGCAGCCGCCGUAAAAC